UGAGGAAUAUUGCACAAUGGGCGCAAGCCUGAUGCAGCAACGCCGCGUGAGCGACGAAGGCCUUCGGGUCGUAAACCUCUUUUCUGGGGGACGAGUAAGGACGGUACCCCAGGAAUAAGUCUCGGCUAACUACGUGCCAGCAGCCGCGGUAAAACGUAGGAGGCGAGCGUUAUCCGGAUUUACUGGGCGUAAAGCGUACGCAGGUGGCUUCGUUAGUCGGACAUGAAAGCUCCUGGCUUAACUGGGAGAGGUUGUUCGAUACUGCGGGGCUUGAGGUUGGGAGAGAGACGUGGAAUUCCCGGUGUAGUGGUGGAAUGCGUAGAUAUCGGGAGGAACACCAGUGGCGCAAGCGGCGUCCUGGCCCACACCUGACGCUGAGGUACGAAAGCGUGGGUAGCAAACAG
rnacentral:rRNA from 1 species